CCCUAUUAUUGGGAAAAUAACACCCUUAGAGAGUAAGGUUUGACCCCGAAAACUAUCAAGAAUGGCGGUUUUUUUUAUUAUCAGAAAAAUGUGUUUUUAAAACGAAAUCACACGAAAAUCUUUCUUAUUCUGGAAUCCCAUCCUGUACACCGCCGUCUGAAGGGCUAAAUCAAUAAAUUAGCCCCAACUUUCUACCCAAAAAUAAGUCAGGUUAGGUGCAGACUAUGGAUAAGACAAAAUGCAUUUCUCUAAAAAACAAAAUUGAGGCUGAAAUAUCUCAAUUAAGAAGAAUUUGAUAGUAAGAAAUUUUUAUCAUAAAAAUCUGAAUUGAUCCCAAAAAAAUGUACACAUCGCCC
rnacentral:rRNA from 1 species